rnacentral:rRNA from 1 species
GAUGAACGCUGGCGGCGUGCCUAAUACAUGCAAGUCGAGCGAACAGACGAGGAGCUUGCUCCUCUGACGUUAGCGGCGGACGGGUGAGUAACACGUGGAUAACCUACCUAUAAGACUGGGAUAACUUCGGGAAACCGGAGCUAAUACCGGAUAAUAUAUUGAACCGCAUGGUUCAAUAGUGAAAGACGGUUUUGCUGUCACUUAUAGAUGGAUCCGCGCCGCAUUAGCUAGUUGGUAAGGUAACGGCUUACCAAGGCAACGAUGCGUAGCCGACCUGAGAGGGUGAUCGGCCACACUGGAACUGAGACACGGUCCGGACUCCUGCGGGAGGCAGCAGUAGGGAAUAUUCCGCAAUGGGCGAAAGCCUGACGGAACAACGCCGCGUGGGUGAUGAAGGUCUUAGGAUCGUAAACCUCUGUUAUUAGGGAAGAACAAAUGUGUGAGUAAAUAUGCACGUCUUGACGGUACCUAAUCAGAAGGCCACGGCUAACUACGUG